rnacentral:misc_RNA from 1 species
CUCAAUAUCCUCGCGACCUCGCACAUCGAGGUAUUGAAGCUUCACUUUUAGCGCUCCUGCGGCGAGUUCCACCUCUUUUAACACUGUUGGGCGUAACAAAGUCCGAAGCGAAAGCACAGCCACAUGGGACAGUCUGGGGACAAUCUCCUUCAGAAGCUCCAGUUGUUUUCCGCUCGUUUCCGGGUGAAGCGCCGACAAUCCAGUAAUGUUCCCGCCCGGCCGCGCCAAACUGGCGACGAACUCAUUGCCAACAGGGUCAUUGUCAAACGCCAUGACAAUCGGAAUCGUAGAAGUUGCUUUCUUGGCAGCACGGGUCGAUGACGGAGCAGCCGUGACGAUGACGUCUACCUUGAGACGCACGAAUUCGGCCGCAAACUCAUUCAGGCGAUCGAAUUUUCCC